AUCAAUUCAAACUGGACCAAAUUAUAUAUAUCUCUUCAACUACUCAUCUGUCACAAUCAGUACGGAGCCUUGAGUUUGAGAUGCAAAAACCAAGGCAAGACCUUGCCUUUGCUCAUGUUUGUCAAAGCAGACCAUGUAGUCCACUAAAAAUGAAUUGAAAGUCAUCCCAGGCGUCAUUCCCUUUGCUUUGGCAGCUUCUGGGACUUCUUCAACUUUUAGGCUUCUUUGUCUUUGGCUCGUGUUGCUUUUGGGUUCUUCAACAAUCGCAACACAAGAGGCUUAUUGACUCACAUCAUUUGAGAGGGCCAUCAUACUGCCCAUUGAGGUGCUGGUUUUGCUUUGUCUUAGUUGCUUCAUGUUUUGCCAACAACAAAGUGAGAACCUUUUGCAAUUUGCUGCAGAGGAGUGCUGGCUUAGUAAUUUUCGUGAGCUGUCUGACUUGGGAUUUUUCUUUGUUGAUUAAUUUUGAAGCACAGAAAGUGGGUUUGAAUCAUCAGCUUUUCACGUUUUGCUACCUGUUCUUUCUCCAAUCUGCAGAUUUAGAAUUUUGCUCUGCUGAAGCAGUUUGGUGCUUUGUUUCUCUUCUUGUGGAUUUCUGCAGCAAUUUGGUAC